rnacentral:misc_RNA from 1 species
GAUGAAGAACGUAGCGAAAUGCGAUAAGUAGUGUGAAUUGCAGAAUUCAGUGAAUCAUCGAAUCUUUGAACGCACAUUGCGCCCUUUGGUAUUCCGAAGGGCAUGCCUGUUCGAGCGUCAUUAUCACCCCUCAAGCCCUCGGCUUGGUGUUGGACGGUUUGGUGGAGGCCCCCUCGGGGGUUCCUGCCCCUCCCAAAGACAAUGACGGCGGCCUCGUUGGACCCCCGGUACACUGAGUUCUUCACGGGACACGUAUCGGACACAUGGGUUUACGGGACACGGUCUGCCUCCCCUCAGGGAGAAUCUUUCUAAGGUUGACCUCGGAUCAGGUAGGGAUACCCGCUGAACUUAAGCAUAUCAAUAAGCGGAGGA